rnacentral:rRNA from 1 species
GCGAACGCUGGCGGCAGGCUUAACACAUGCAAGUCGAGCGGGCAUCUUCGGAUGUCAGCGGCAGACGGGUGAGUAACACGUGGGAACGUACCCUUCGGUUCGGAACAACUCUGGGAAACUGGAGCUAAUACCGGAUACGCCCUUAUGGGGAAAGGUUUACUGCCGAAGGAUCGGCCCGCGUCUGAUUAGCUAGUUGGUGGGGUAACGGCCUACCAAGGCGACGAUCAGUAGCUGGUCUGAGAGGAUGAUCAGCCACACUGGGACUGAGACACGGCCCAGACUCCUACGGGAGGCAGCAGUGGGGAAUAUUGGACAAUGGGCGCAAGCCUGAUCCAGCCAGGCCGCGUGAGUGAUGAAGGCCUUAGGGUUGUAAAGCUCUUUUGUCCGGGAAGAUAAUGACGGUACCGGAAGAAUAAGCCCCGGCUAACUUCGUG